UGUCUUGCUUCCAGCAGAAAAGGCCAUACAGAACCAUUAAGAACUUUCAGAAUGUUUCAAAAGUAACAACAGAGAGCAUGGAAAGGCAAUAUUUUACACUUUUACAUCUGAAUGACUAACCAAUUAAUAUCAAGAAAUACGAUUAAGCAGAAUCCACUUUAUUUGGGAAGACAUUCAAAUACGAUUGAACAACGUAGUGAUUUUGGAUGCAUAAGCUGCUCUGAACAUGGUCCAUGAGGCAUAUUCCAGAAAUUUAACCAUGCAUAUGAUUAAAUCUGAAGUCUUUGCAAGAAGGGUGAAAGAUAAAUCAAGAUGGCAAGUGUGACUGUGUAAUAAAAAACACAACCCCAUUUUUGUAUUCGUUAUGUGUGGCAACAUGGGACUGUGUUCUGAUCAC